rnacentral:rRNA from 1 species
GACGAACGCUGGCGGCGUGCCUAAUACAUGCAAGUAGGACGCACAGUCUAUACCGUAGCUUGCUACACCAUAGACUGUGAGUUGCGAACGGGUGAGUAACGCGUAGGUAACCUGCCUAUUAGAGGGGGAUAACUAUUGGAAACGAUAGCUAAUACCGCAUAACAGUAUGUAACACAUGUUAGAUGCUUGAAAGAUGCAAUUGCAUCGCUAGUAGAUGGACCUGCGUUGUAUUAGCUAGUAGGUAGGGUAAUGGCCUACCUAGGCGACGAUACAUAGCCGACCUGAGAGGGUGAUCGGCCACACUGGGACUGAGACACGGCCCAGACUACUACGGGAGGCAGCAGUAGGGAAUCUUCGGCAAUGGGGGGAACCCUGACCGAGCAACGCCGCGUGAGUGAAGAAGGUUUUCGGAUCGUAAAGCUCUGUUGUUAAGGAAGAACGAGUGUGAGAAUGGAAAGUUCAU